GAUGAAGAACGUAGCGAAAUGCGAUAAGUAAUGUGAAUUGCAGAAUUCAGUGAAUCAUCGAAUCUUUGAACGCACAUUGCGCCCGCCAGUAUUCUGGCGGGCAUGCCUGUUCGAGCGUCAUUACAACCCUCAGGCCCCCGGGCCUGGCGUUGGGGAUCGGCGGAGCCCCCCGUGGGCACACGCCGUCCCCCAAAUGCAGUGGCGGUCCCGCCGCAGCUUCCAUCGCGUAGUAGCUAACACCUCGCGACUGGAGAGCGGCGCGGCCACGCCGUAAAACACCCAACUCUUCUGAAGUUGACCUCGAAUCAGGUAGGAAUACCGGCUGAACUUAAGCAUAUCAAUAAGCGGAGGA
rnacentral:misc_RNA from 1 species